GAUGAACGCCAGCGGGAGGCCUAACACAUGCAAGCCGAGCGGUAUUGUUUCUUCGGAAAUGAGAGAGCGGCGUACGGGUGCGUAACACGUGUGCAACCUGCCUUUAUCUGGGGGAUAGCCUUUCGAAAGGAAGAUUAAUACUCCAUAACAUAUUGAACGGCAUCGUUUAAUAUUGAAAGCUCCGGCGGAUAGAGAUGGGCACGCGCAAGAUUAGCUAGUUGGUGAGGUAACGGCUCACCAAGGCGAUGAUCUUUAGGGGGCCUGAGAGGGUGAUCCCCCACACUGGUACUGAGACACGGACCAGACUCCUACGGGAGGCAGCAGUGAGGAAUAUUGGUCAAUGGGUGCAAGCCUGAACCAGCCAUCCCGCGUGAAAGACGACUGCCCUAUGGGUUGUAAACUUCUUUUGUAUAGGGAUAAACCUACCCUCGUGAGGGUAGCUGAAGGUACUAUACGAAUAAGCACCGGCUAACUCCGUGCCAGCAGCCGCAGUAAGAC
rnacentral:rRNA from 1 species